AGAACGAACGCUGGCGGCAUGCCUAACACAUGCAAGUCGAACGUGAUCCAGGCUUCGGCCUGGUGAAAGUGGCAGACGGGUGAGUAACGCGUGGGAACCUGCCCUGUGGUAGGGAAUAACCGUGGGAAACUGCGGCUAAUACCCUAUGAGUCCUUUGGGAGAAAGAUUUAUCGCCAUAGGAGGGGCCCGCGUCGGAUUAGGUAGUUGGUGGGGUAACGGCCUACCAAGCCUUCGAUCCGUAGCUGGUCUGAGAGGAUGAUCAGCCACACUGGGACUGAGAUACGGCCCAGACUCCUACGGGAGGCAGCAGUGGGGAAUAUUGGACAAUGGGGGGCAACCCUGAUCCAGCAAUGCCGCGUGGAUGAUGAAGGCCUUCGGGUUGUAAAGUCCUUUCGGCGGGAAGAGUGAUGACGGUACCGCAGAAGAAGCCCCGGCUAACUUCGUGCCAGCAGCCGC
rnacentral:rRNA from 1 species